rnacentral:rRNA from 1 species
GAUGAACGCUAGCUACAGGCUUAACACAUGCAAGUCGAGGGGUAACAAGAGAAAAGCUUGCUUUUCUUGUUGACGACCGGCGCACGGGUGAGUAGCGCGUAUCCAACCUGCCUAUAACUAGGGAAUAACCUUGCGAAAGUAAGACUAAUACCCUAUGAUUUCCUUUGAUGACAUCAGAUUAGGAAUAAAGAUUUAUCGGUUAUAGAUGGGGAUGCGUCUGAUUAGCUUGUUGGCGGGGUAACGGCCCACCAAGGCAACGAUCAGUAGGGGUUCUGAGAGGAAGGUCCCCCACAUUGGAACUGAGACACGGUCCAAACUCCUACGGGAGGCAGCAGUGAGGAAUAUUGGUCAAUGGGCGGAAGCCUGAACCAGCCAAGUAGCGUGCAGGAUGACGGCCCUAUGGGUUGUAAACUGCUUUUAUACAGGAAUAAAGUUAGCCACGUGUGGUUAUUUGUAGGUACUGUAUGAAUAAGGACCGGCUAAUUCCGUGCCAGCCGCCGCAGUAA